CGAGUCGACUCUUGUAGUUAAUGUAACUUGAAAAAUCUUCUUUGAAAAAUCUUUAAUCGAAAUGUGAUUUGUAAUUUGAAAGGUCAUAUGCUAUAUGUUGUUUCGAGAAAAGUGAAGUGAGACGUGAAUGGUCUGUCUAUUCGUGUAUGACAUUAGCCAAUAAAUCAUUUUCUAUUCAACUGGAAUCACCACUAUUUGGCAUAUCUGUCAUUUAUUUAAAAGGUUAUAAUUAAAUUUAAAUUAGAUUAACAAUCUUUAUAUUACAAUAUAAGAUUCUUGAGAAUAAUGGACAGCAAUCAACUUCUGUCAAGAAUGGAGCAUACGGUUCAUUUAAUAUCUAAUUUCCGGCUACUUGGCAAAUUUCACAAUCUUGCGUGCCAAAUCUUGUCUCGAAUAACUUCACCUGGAAGCCAUACUUGAUCAGGAUUUAACGUAAUAUGCACGAGAAAUAUUGUUGCAACUUUCAAAAACUUUUGAACGUCAUUCUACAUCACUAUGAGAAAAAGUAAAAAAAAAAAAAGCUUCACGCGAGAAACACGUAAAAUACUAAUUUUAAAAAAAAAAAAAAAAGGAAGGCAGACUCGACACACUCUGAUAUACUCACAGACGACUCACAAUCACGCAAAUCCUAAUAGAAUGUCCAAGGCUAAACCGUUUGGAAAGUUUCGGUAGCAAUAUCCCUAUACGGUAUUAGCAAAGCGAAGCAAGCGAAGUCCAUCAGCAUCGACCCACACCAUAACUUCCGCAACGAAGGUACAAAUAUACGUAUAUACGAAAUGAAAAAAAAAAAAAGAAAAAGAAAAAAGGAAG